UACAAGUCAGGAGCUGAAGCAG
rnacentral:miRNA from 1 species